AUGUGCUAGUACUAUAUCUUUUUUCAUUACCACCGCAAAUGCAUUGUGGUAAAUUCCCCCUGUCGGUGGGCAUGAGUAAACGGCAGUACUUUUCAGAUGAAUAUAAAAUCAGUACAACACAAUAUAUAUUCAACAAUCAUAAGGGAGAGGAGAAGUUUUAAGUCUCAAGUACUAUCUUUAUUUCUUAAUGGUGUAACUCCAAUAGAGGCAUUUAUGACCGCGCACGAGGAUGCUUUCUAUACUUUGUCCAAUUACAUCUCAAGAAAGUGGGAUAGUUGAGUGAUUGGCAACGGUCAAGACUUAUACAGUUUACAGUUUCAAAGCACAUAACAAAAAAUAUAUGCAGUUCUACGCAGCUAGUGACUUUACACUGGUGCACUUCCUCUCCAAUCGAGCUCUAAUCACGUAAUUUCCCUCACAGUUUAUUCGCAUACUAAUUGCAAUAGUAUACACACUUCAUUUUUUCCCGACAAAACAAAAA